UCUCGCUUGGUUGCAUUUGAAAAAGCUCAAAAUCAUACAAUAAAAUGUUAACUUUCGAGUCUUUGACUCUACUAGUUCCUUCGUGCGUGAUUUCAAGUGUUCGCCAAAUAUCAAAAGCCGUUUCGCACGUAGAAAUCCGAUUGAACUCAUUUUUGUCCAAAGCGCAAAAUAAGGCAUUCAUAGCCUUUGCGUUUAAAUAAAAAUAUUUCUUCUCCAAAUUCGACCAUUCGUUCAUCGGUUUAGAGGGAAGUUGAAAACCGUUUUCAAU
rnacentral:lncRNA from 1 species